ensembl:lncRNA
GUUUUAAUUCUCCUUGUUGUCCCUGGCAUUAAAAGCAUCUAGCUUUACGGAACCCCACCAACCCCUAAAUACCCUUUUUUCUCCCAACCGGGAUCUAGCUUUUUACCAUUUCCUUAAUGUUUGCACCUAGAAACGCAGCUUAAGUGGCAUUAUGCUAAGUAAUUAUUCUUACAGGAUGUGAAAUGAAACAAAUUUUGCACAGCAUGAAAUUAUUCCUGCCACGUACGGCGUUCGGUGGCAGAUUUUUGAGUUUGGACCACAAACAAGGCUCGGCGGCACGGAGAGGAGGGGGCGGGGAGGAAAACACCACCAAAGGAUGCCCCUGAUGUUGCUGAUCUCUUACUCCUGCCCUACUGGUGAGGUUCAGGAUGGAAACGCUUUUAUGGCUGAGUUGGACAGUGCCUCCAGAAGGGAUGGUGGUCACUCUGGAGCAACCCAUGAACAGAAGGUUUUGGCCCUAUUUGAGCUGUGCACAGCCACUGCCCUACAGCAUUAGUGGAAACUGCCUUUCCC